CACAAGCACUGGGCACAAUGAAGUGGGUAACCUUUAUUUCCCUUCUCUUCCUUUACAGGUUUGCUUAUUCCAGGGGUGUGUUUCGUUGAGAAGCACCAUACUCUAUUUGGAGAUAAAUUAUGUGCUAUCCCAACUCUGCGUGAGACCUAUGGAGAGCUGGCUGACUGCUGUAC
rnacentral:lncRNA from 1 species